GAUGAACGCUGACAGAAUGCUUAACACAUGCAAGUCAACUUGAACUUCGGUUUGGGUGGCGGACGGGUGAGUAACGCGUAAAGAACUUGCCUCACAGAUAGGGACAACAUUUGGAAACGAAUGCUAAUACCUGAUAUUAUGAUUUUAGGGCAUCCUAGAAUUAUGAAAGCUAUAUGCGCUGUGAGAGAGCUUUGCGUCCCAUUAGCUAGUUGGAGAGGUAACGGCUCACCAAGGCGAUGAUGGGUAGCCGGCCUGAGAGGGUGAUCGGCCACAAGGGGACUGAGACACGGCCCUUACUCCUACGGGAGGCAGCAGUGGGGAAUAUUGGACAAUGGACCAAGAGUCUGAUCCAGCAAUUCUGUGUGCACGAUGAAGUUUUUCGGAAUGUAAAGUGCUUUCAGUUGGGAAGAAAAAAAUGACGGUACCAACAGAAGAAGUGACGGCUAAAUACGUGCCAGCAGCCGCGGUAAUACGUAUGUCACAAGCGUUAUCCGGAUUUAUUGGGCGUAAAGCGCGUCUAGGUGGUUAUAUAAGUCUGAUGUGAAAAUGCAGGGCUCAACUCUGUAUUGCGUUGGAAACUGUGUAACUAGAGUACUGGAGAGGUAAGCGGAACUACAAGUGUAGAGGUGAAAUUCGUAGAUAUUUGUAGGAAUGCCAAUGGGGAAGCCAGCUUACUGGACAGAUACUGACGCUGAAGCGCGAAAGCGUGGGUAGCAAACAGG
rnacentral:rRNA from 1 species